UACGAAGGGGGCUAGCGUUGUUCGGAUUUACUGGGCGUAAAGCGCACGUAGGCGGAUCGUUAAGUCGGGGGUGAAAUCCUGGAGCUCAACUCCAGAACUGCCUUUGAUACUGGAAAGCUUGAGUUCGGGAGAGGUGAGUGGAACUGCGAGUGUAGAGGUGAAAUUCGUAGAUAUUCGCAAGAACACCAGUGGCGAAGGCGGCUCACUGGCCCGAUACUGACGCUGAGGUGCGAAAGCGUGGGGAGCAAACAGG
rnacentral:rRNA from 1 species